GAUGAACGCUGGCGGCGUGCCUAAUACAUGCAAGUCGAGCGAACGGACGAGAAGCUUGCUUCUCUGAUGUUAGCGGCGGACGGGUGAGUAACACGUGGAUAACCUACCUAUAAGACUGGGAUAACUUCGGGAAACCGGAGCUAAUACCGGAUGAUAUUUUGAACCGCAUGGUUCAAAAGUGAAAGACGGUCUUGCUUUCACUUAUAGAUGGAUCCGCGCUGCAUUAGCUAGUUGGUAAGGUAACGGCUUACCAAGGCAACGAUGCAUAGCCGACCUGAGAGGGUGAUCGGCCACACUGGAACUGAGACACGGUCCAGACACCUACGGGAGGCAGCAGUAGGGAAUCUUCCGCAAUGGGCGAAAGCCUGACGGAGCAACGCCGCGUGAGUGAUGAAGGUCUUCGGCUCGUAAAACUCUGUUAUUAGGGAAGAACAUAUGUGUAAGUAACUGUGCACAUCUUGACGGUACCUAAUCAGAAAGCCACGGCUAACUACGUG
rnacentral:rRNA from 1 species